ACCAAUCAAAAUAGCGAACCCCGAUGGGGAAGUCCCAGAAGGAGGCGGAAAGGGCCUGGCACGUGAUUGUGAAUUUCCCGGGAAGCGCUGGGGAGUUAUUAAGUGCCUGCGCGGGAGGCUUCGCGUCAGUUUCGCGAACGGCUGGGUUGUGAACUUGGGCCAGGUACUUAAUUUUACAGGUACAGUUUCCUAACCUGUAAAAUAAGGAAUGUUGGAUAAGAUGAUGUCUGUGGUCUCUUCCCAUUCUACAUCUAUGAACUAUUUCAUACUAGAUUCACAGAAAAUGAUGAGGUUUCCUGACUUCUCAGUUCUCAUUUUGCUAACUUAGAAGAAAUUAGUUCAAAG